UGAGGAAUAUUGGUCAAUGGACGGAAGUCUGAACCAGCCAAGUAGCGUGCAGGAUUGACGGCCCUAUGGGUUGUAAACUGCUUUUGUUGGGGAGUAAAGUGAGGCACGCGUGCCUUUUUGCAUUUACCCUUCGAAUAAGGACCGGCUAAUUCCGUGCCAGCAGCCGCGGUAAUACGGAAGGUCCAGGCGUUAUCCGGAUUUAUUGGGUUUAAAGGGAGUGUAGGCGGUCUGUUAAGCGUGUUGUGAAAUUUAGGUGCUCAACAUCUACCUUGCAGCGCGAACUGGCGGACUUGAGUGCACGCAACGUAUGCGGAAUUCAUGGUGUAGCGGUGAAAUGCUUAGAUAUCAUGACGAACUCCGAUUGCGAAGGCAGCGUACGGGGGUGUUACUGACGCUUAAGCUCGAAGGUGCGGGUAUCGAACAGGAUUAGAUACCCUGGUAGUCCGCACGGUAAACGAUGGAUGCCCGCUGUUAGCGCCUGGCGUUAGCGGCUAAGCGAAAGCAUUAAGCAUCCCACCUGGGGAGUACGCCGGCAACGGUG
rnacentral:rRNA from 1 species